GCGCAGCAGUCGCGAAUUUUCACAAUGGGGGAAACCCUGAUGGAGCGACGCCGCGUGGAGGAUGAAGGCGUUUUCGUCGUAAACUCCUGUCAUGCGAGAACAAGAAAGUGAUAGUAUCGCAAGAGGAAGAGGCGGCUAACUCUGUGCCAGCAGCCGCGGUAAUACAGAGGCCUCAAGCGUUGUUCGGAUUCAUUGGGCGUAAAGGGUGCGUAGGUGGCAUGGUAAGUUGAAGGUGAAAUCUCGGAGCCCAACUCCGAAACUGCCUUCAAUACUGCUGUGCUCGAGGACUGUAGAGGAGAAUGGAAUUCACGGUGUAGCAGUGAAAUGCGUAGAUAUCGUGAGGAAGACCAGUGGCGAAGGCGAUUCUCUGGGCAGUUCCUGACACUGAGGCACGAAGGCUAGGGGAGCAAACGGGAUUAGAUACCCGCGUAGU
rnacentral:rRNA from 1 species